rnacentral:rRNA from 1 species
ACUCCUACGGGAGGCAGCAGUAGGGAAUCUUCCACAAUGGACGCAAGUCUGAUGGAGCAACGCCGCGUGAGUGAAGAAGGGUUUCGGCUCGUAAAGCUCUGUUGUUAAAGAAGAACGUGGGUGAGAGUAACUGUCACCAGUGACGGUAUUUAACCAGAAAGCCACGGCUAACUACGUGCCAGCAGCCGCGGUAAUACGUAGGUGGCAAGCGUUAUCCGGAUUUAUUGGGCGUAAAAGCGAGCGCAGGCGGUCUUUUAAGUCUAAUGUGAAAGCCUUCGGCUCAACCGAAGAAGUGCAUUGGAAACUGGGAGACUUGAGUGCAGAAGAGGACAGUGGAACUCCAUGUGUAGCGGUGAAAUGCGUAGAUAUAUGGAAGAACACCAGUGGCGAAGGCGGCUGUCUGGUCUGUAACUGACGCUGAGGCUCGAAAGCAUGGGUAGCGAACAGGAUUAGAUACCCCUGGUAGGAUAGCG